UUGUAUGUAGCUCAGUGGUAGAGCGUUUGCCUAGCAUGCAUGAGGCUCUGAGUUGGAUCCUUUGCACUGAAA
rnacentral:tRNA from 1 species